GUCCAGGCCUUCACCUCCCAUUCCGACCCUUCACAAGAAUGGCGAGAACCUACUGGGCCAGCCCGAAGCCAGGCCCAGGGGGUUCCUUGCCCCUUCCCAGCAGAUGGGGAGAGAGGAAAGGCCUUGGCCCGCAGGGUUCAGAGUCACACUGCUUGGUCAAGGAGAGAUGGAAUUUGCAAAGGAGCCAGGUGCGGGGCAUGGUGGAAGGGACAGGAGAGGGAUGAGCAGGAAAGAGAGGAGACUCCUGCCCAGGGAAAAGGGCUUGAACUCUGUCCAGUGGGUGGUGCGCAGCUCACCUGAGCCACAAAUCAAGAUCAAACAGGAAACAUCAAUAACUCGGGGGGAGGACAUCUCCCCAAUAUAGAAUGUUCCAUGGGGAUGGGGGGAAGGGCUUCUAUACUUUAUAGGUCAUCCCCUUUAGUUGUUUUGGUUUUAUAUGUGUUUUGCAACACUGCAUAAUUUUUUUCAAAUAAAUAUGCAGCAUAUGGUGGGUAUGCAUCACAGAUGUUCUUAUUGAUGCAGUAAUGAGAAAGCCACAAGCACACAAUGGUGAGGGAUGGCAGGAGACAGGUGCAGGAGCCCAGUUCCAGGGCAGCAGGCUGCAGGUGCCUAAGGGAGCUUGCUGGGGCUGACCCAGGCUUCUGCACUGGGGAUAAGUGCCCAGGGGCACUGUAUCAGGGCAGGUAUCCUACCUACCCGUGGCCGCUCUUUGCCCCUGCUGUGGUCCUAGGCCUACGGUCUGCAUUCUCCAACUAACUCCGCAUUCAGAAGCUAUGACUGCAUCAGAAAAGGAAAGGAUCCUGGCAAUGAGUGGCCUGCUUGACCACCAUGGGCAAAGUGGCAGCCAAAAGGCCUGUUCACCACAUUCUUCC
rnacentral:lncRNA from 1 species